rnacentral:rRNA from 1 species
GACGAACGCUGGCGGCGGGCUUAACACAUGCAAGUCGAACGGAAAAGCCCUGCUUGUGUGGGGUGCUCGAGUGGCGAACGGGUGAGUAACCCGUGAAUAACCUGGCCUGUACUUUGGGAUGACUUCAGGAAACUGGGGCUAAUGCCGGAUAGGAGCUCGUGCUGCAUGGUGGGGGUUGGAACGUUUCGGCGGAUGGGGAUGGACUCGCGGUUUAUCAGCUUGUUGGUGGGGGAGUGGCUUACCAAGGCAUUGACGGGUAGCCGGCCUGAGAGGGUGAACGGCCACAUUGGGACUGAGAGACGGCCCAGACUCCUACGGGAGGCAGCAGUGGGGAAUAUUGCACAAUGGGCGGAAGCCUGAUGCAGCAACGCCGCGUGCGGGAUGACGGCCUUCGGGUUGUAAACCGCUUUCGCCUGUGACGAAGCGUGAGUGACGGUAAUGGGUAAAGAAGCACCGGCUAACUACGUG